UGGAACAAAUGGAGCUUAACUAAAAUCUGGCCUGUUCCUCCUCCUCAUAAGCCUUCACCAGUUUUUAAAAAUGACAGUCGAUCAAUUAAUCAAAUUCAAGCAAGAGGUUUUUAUUUAAUAGGUAAAGAUAAAAACUCAAUCUUUAGGUAGUCUCUAAUCUAGCUGGUGAAUGACUAAGUCAUAGUUUCAGGCAGCCUUACUGUGGAAUUUAUUUAUGAGAACAUUCUGGUCUUUAGGGUGAAUAUUUUUAUCCGUUUUUGUUUUGGUGGAUGACAGUUCCUUUGAGGUUUCUGUCGACAGAAGGUGUAUAUUUGUGUGGAAAGAGAGGA
rnacentral:lncRNA from 1 species